AAAUUCAGUUUCCCCACUAAACAUACUCUCCUCAUAUUUCCCUCUCAGUUUUAAUUUUUCAUUUUCAUCUUCCCACCAAAAUCUCACAGCCUCCUAAAAUGCCCUAAUUAAGAAUAUUUCCUCACGAUCCAUCUCUUCUUCUCUCUGUGAUUUCUUCUUCUUCUCUAUCUUUGGCUCAUUACUUCUUGAUCACCAUUUUGUAUCGUAACACAUUGUUACAAGGGCUUCAAACCAGGACUAACAUGUCUUUGUUACUAAGGUCUUACCCAGUAUGUUGGGAGGGUUGAGAAGGUCGAUAGGCGGUGAAAGAAGAGUGGGUGCUGGUGGUGAUCGGACAAUCCACGAUUGAGAAUUUGAUUCAGUAUGACGCAAUUAGUCCGUUCAUUGCAGUGGCUGGCUUACAUCCUAUUAAUUAUGCGUGUCUAUCUUAUCACGAGUAAAAAGAUUGAGCCAAUCCCAAGCAGAAAUCUGCCUCCUAGGUUUGAACCAAAUACAUCUCGCAGUGUGAGCGGUUUACAUAUGAUUUUUUAGUUUGUUAUUCUCCUUUUCAUAUGCAUGUUCAAGCAUGACGAAUGCCUUAGUAUGUCCCUGGUAACCAAGUAAGUGUUUUAUAAUUUGCUAUAUCUUACCAAUUUGUUUUUCUCGUCCCCCAAUACACACAGUACUGAGGUUUAUAGUUGUGAUAUGCAAAAGUGUUAAAUGUAGGAUGGCUCUAUGUUUUAUGUCUACUGGAAAUUGUGUAUUAUUCUGUAGCUAAAUGUGUUUUCUUUUUAAUUUCUUCUUUUAUUUUUGAGAAAAUGUUGGUACGGUGGGAACAUCCAUAUACAGAUGACGGGACAAUUUCUUCAGGAGGUUUUUGCAAGCUAAAGUUGUGAAAAAGCAGUCGUUUGAAACUCAUUAAGUGAAUAAAGAGGAUCAUGAAAGAAAAAAAGUUGACCUUGAAGCUAUACGACAAGAUAUUGAUAUCCAGCGACAAGACUUGGAAGAUCUGUGUGGAAAUGUUACGAAACAACUACAAGUUGAAGAUCAAGAUGCGUAGAAUGUUUUAGUUACUCUUUAUUAUUGUAAUUGACACUUUGGUAUUGACUUUUUUUGUUAUUUGAGUUUGGAAAAGUAUGUUAAGGUACACUAUUUGACUAGCAAUGAUAUUUGUGUUAAUAUUGUU